ACUUUCUUUCUCUCUCUAAUAAUAUAAGAGGACUCAUUCUCAAAGAUACACUCAAAUCACAAUUCUGAAUCCUCAAUUCAACAACCAGAUUUCAUUUUGUUUGAACUGAUCAGCUUAUGACCACAAUCGAUAGUUACAGGAUUUUAAUUGGGGGGUUUAGGACUACCAUUCAGAGCAACAUGUAGCAUCAUAUGGGCCGACAUGUGUAUUUGUAGCAAUGAAGAGUCAACUCGGUGGUGUCGAAUUCAACAGGUUUUCGCACUAGAACUAAAGGAUUUGGCAAACAUACAUAAAAGCAACAAUGGGUCUCAAAGGUGGAAGAAAGUGGUGAGUCUGGUGACUCAAGCAGCCAUUUGGGUUAUUUGGAAGAGCCGAAACGAGGCGGUUUUUGAAGGAAAGCAACCUUAUGUGAACAAGAUGAAAGAAGAAAUCAAGAUGCUCGGAUAUACGUGGAUAAAAAGCAGGGUCAAAAACGUCAGUAUCUCAUGGAGUGAUUGGUGUAAUUUUGAUUUGAUUUGUUUUGGUGUAUAAGGUGAUGUAAUUACUGUAAAACAUUGGUGAACAUAUGGCCAAUAAUUUGGUUGUCCAGGUGAAUAUGGAAUAAAAUUUUGUUGAUCUUUCAAAAAAAAAAAAAAAAAAAGCAAUGAAGAGUCAAUUUCUUA